UGGGGAAUAUUGGACAAUGGGCGAAAGCCUGAUCCAGCGACGCCGCGUGUCGGAAGGAGUCCUUCGGGAUGUAAACGACUUUUGGUGAAGACGAAUAAGCAGCUCAGGGAAUGGGGCUGUGAUGACGGUAUCCAUGGAAUAAGCCCCGGCUAACUACGUGCCAGCAGCCGCGGUAAGACGUAGGGGGCAAGCGUUACCCGGAAUUACUGGGCGUAAAGGGAGCGUAGGCGGGAGGUCAAGUCCGGUGUGAAAGACCCUGGCUCAACCAGGGAUGAAGGCUGGAAACUGACAAUCUCGAGUACAGCAGAGGAAGAGGGAAUUACCGGUGUAGGGGUGAAAUCCGUAGAGACCGGUAAGAAGGCCAGUGGCGAAGGCGCUUUUCUGGGCUGUUACUGACGCUGAGGCUCGAAAGCCAGGGGAGCAAACCG
rnacentral:rRNA from 1 species